rnacentral:lncRNA from 1 species
CGGACUCCUACGGGAGCCGGACCUCGCCCACGGCUUCACCUGCAAAUCUCGUCCGGACUCCUACGGGGGUCGGACUCCGCCCCUGACUCCAAUUGCAGGCAGACUUCGUCCGGACUCCUACGGGAGCCAGACCUCACCCCCGACUCCAAUUGCAGGCAGACUUCGUCCGGACUCCUACGGGAGCCGGAUCUUGCCCACGGCUUCACCAGCAGACUUCGUCCGGACUCCUACGGGAGCCAGAUUUCGCCCACGACUCCAGCUAAACUUCGUUCGGACUCCUACUGGAGUCGGACUUCGCAUCUGACCUUAAUUGCAGGUAGACUUCGUCCGGACUCCUACGGGAGCCGAACCUAGCCCACGGCUUCACCAGCAGACUUCGUCCGGACUCCUACGGGAGCCGGACUUUGCAUCUGACUUUAAUUGCAGGUGGACUUCGUCCGGACUCCUACGGGAACCGGACCUCGCACCUGACUUUAAUUGCAGGUGGAUUUCGUCCGGACUCCUACGGAAGCCGGAUCUCGCACCUGACUUUAAUUGCAGGUAGAUUUCGUCCAGACUCCUACGGAAGCCAGACCUCGUCUCCAACUUCGGCUACGGGAAGACUCCGCCCGGAAUCCUACGGGAGCCGGACUUCAUCCUCGACCUCGACUGAUGGUAAAACUUCAUCCGAACUCCUACAGGAGCCGGGCUCCACCCUCUGCUUCGCUUACAGGUGAACUUCGUCUGGACUCCUACGGGGGUCGGACUUCGCCCCUGACUUUAAUUGCAGGUAGACUUCGCCCAGAUCCCUGCGGGAGCCAGACCUCAUCUCCGACUCCGGCUACGGGAAGACCCCACCCGUAUUCCUACGGGAGCCGGACUUCACCCCCGACUUUGACUGAAGGGAGAUUCCAUCCGAACUUCUGCGAGAGCCGUACUUCUAGCUCCUCUCAGACGGGUGGCUAGCCACCUCUCUCCGCCAUACACCCUAGCCAAACUCCGAUCGAUAGGCUCCAUCACUCCCUGGCAGACCGCAAUAACGGCCACGGCGCUGCUCCACUUCCUGCGACGGAUUUCACGCGACUCCAUCACUUCCUGGCAGACCGCAGUAACGGCCACGGCGCUGCUCCACUUCCUGCGACGGAUUCCACGCGGCUCCAUCACUCCC